AGUGAACGCUGGCGGUAGGCCUAACACAUGCAAGUCGAACAGCAGCACAGGAGAGCUUGCCCUCUGGGUGGCGAGUGGCGGACGGGUGAGGAAUACAUCGGAAUCUACUCUGUCGUGGGGGAUAACGUAGGGAAACUUACGCUAAUACCGUAUACGACCUACGGGUGAAAGCAGGGGAUCUUCGGACCUUGCGCGAUUGAAUGAGCCGAUGUCGGAUUAGCUAGUUGGCGGGGUAAAGGCCCACCAAGGCGACGAUCCGUAGCUGGUCUGAGAGGAUGAUCAGCCACACUGGAACUGAGACACGGUCCAGACUCCUACGGGAGGCAGCAAUGGGGAAUAUUGGACAAUGGGCGCAAGCCUGAUCCAGCCAUACCGCGUGGGUGAAGAAGGCCUUCGGGUUGUAAAGCCCUUUUGUUGGGAAAGAAAUCCAGCUGGUUAAUACCCGGUUGGGAUGACGGUACCCAAAGAAUAAGCUCCGGCUAACUCCGUGCCAGCCGCCGCAGUAA
rnacentral:rRNA from 1 species